GUUUGCAGGACUACUGAGUCAGAAUUCGCAUUUUGACAAAACUCCAGCUUAUUAAUACACCUCAGAAGUGUUACAGGAAUUAAUUCGCAGGAUUUUGAAGAAUAUUUUGAGGUAUUGAUUUUAAUCUGAUUAAAUGAAAUAACCACGUGUCAACCUGGGG